rnacentral:rRNA from 1 species
CCUGGUUGAUCCUGCCAGUAGCAUAUGCUUGUCUCAAAGAUUAAGCCAUGCAUGUCUAAGUACAAGCCGCUAGACGGCGAAACCGCGAAUGGCUCAAUAAAUCAGUUAUGGUUCCUUAGAUCCACUCCAUCCUACUUGGAUAACUGUGGUAAUUCUAGAGCUAAUACAUGGCACUCGAGCCUCGACUGCGCCCGCUUCGCGGUGGGUGCAGAAGAGGUGCUUUUAUUAGAUCAAAACCAGUCGGGGCGAGCGGCCGGGCAACCGUCGCGGCGACCCGUACCAAUUUUGGUGACUCUGGAAUAACUUCACGCCGAUCGCAUGGCCUUCGAGCCGGCGACGUAUCCUUUCAAAAUGUCUGCCUUAUCAACUGUCGAUGGUAGGUUACGCGCCUACCAUGGUUGCUACGGGUAACCGGGAAAUCGGGGUUCGAUUCCGGAGAAGGAAGCCUGAGAAACGGCUACCACAUCCAAGGAAGGCAGCAGGCGCGCAAAUUACCCACUCCCGGCACGGGGAGGUAGUGACGAAAAAUAACGAUACGGGACUCUUCCCCGAGGCCCCGUGAUUGGAAUGAGUACACUUUAAAUCCUAAAACGAGAACCAUGGAGGGCAAGUCUUGGUGCCAGCAGCCGCGGUAACUCCAGCUCCAAUAGCGUAUAUUUAAAGUUGUUGCGGUUAAAAAGCUCGUAGUCGGAUGUCUGUCUUCGGCCGGGCGGCGCCGCUCUGAAUCAAGGGUGUUGCGUUUCACGCUCUGGGAGCCCGGGUGUCCAAGGCCCGACUCUCUUCACGGUCGGACAACAUCGCCGGGAGUGGUGGCCGGGUGGGUCGCGUUGUAUCGGUUCGCGUGGCGUUUCGUUUUCUUCCUCUUCGGGGUUCGCUCCGUCGAAGGGGGGGGGUGAUCGCUCGCGUUCAGUUGACGCCGGUUCGCUCCACCCAGUCAAUCGUUCGGGGUGGCCCUUAACCCGGUUGUCUCGGGCGGCCGGCAACGUUUACUUUGAACAAAUUAGAGUGCUCAAAGCAAGGUGUAUCCCAACGCCUGAAUAUCGCAGCAUGGAAUGAUGGAAUGGACCUCGGUCCGAAUUUUGCUGGUCUUUUCUCUUGGACCCGAGGUAAUGGUCAAUAGAGACGGACGGGGGCCAUUCGUAUGCGGCGACAGAGGUGAAAUUUUUGGACCCGCCGCAAGACGAACAACAGCGAAGGCAUUUGCCAAGAAUGGUUUCCCUUGAUCAAGAACGAAAGUUAGAGGUUCGAAGGCGAUCAGAUACCGCCCUAGUUCUAACCAUAAACGAUGCCAACCAGCAAUCCGUCGGAGUUACUCCAAUGACUCGACGGGCAGCUUCCGGGAAACCAAAGUCUUUGGGUUCCGGGGGAAGUAUGGUUGCAAAGCUGAAACUUAAAGGAAUUGACGGAAGGGCACCACCAGGAGUGGAGCCUGCGGCUUAAUUUGACUCAACACGGGAAACCUCACCAGGCCCGGACACUGGAAGGAUUGACAGAUUGAGAGCUCUUUCUUGAUUCGGUGGGUGGUGGUGCAUGGCCGUUCUUAGUUGGUGGAGCGAUUUGUCUGGGUUAAUUCCGAUAACGAACGAGACUCUAGCCUGCUAAAUAGGUGACGGGUUUUAUCAAUUGAAACCGAAGGGAGUACGGAGGCGUCGGGAUCAGGUGGCGGCGGUUCGGGUGGAAGGGGCCGGGUUCUUUAGCGGGCUCCUUUCCGCGGCGUGGAUUCGGUUGGAAGCAAAAAGGAUGGGGAGGUGGUGUUCGGGGUUUCGGCUCCGGGCGUUGGCUUUUCUUUUCUUGCGUUUCCUGCCGGGCUGCGUCGCGAAGGGGGUUUUGGGGGGGCUCGGUCCUUUGUUUCUCGGUCGUCGUCAUCCCCGGCGAUACCUUCUGCUCUCGCGUCCGUCACGCAGUCUUCUUAGAGGGACAAGCGGCGUCCAGCCGCGUGACAGUGAGCAAUAACAGGUCUGUGAUGCCCUUAGAUGUCCUUGGGCCGCACGCGCGCUACACUGAAGGAAUCAGCGUGUUUCACUCUCCCUGCCGAAAGGACCGGGGUAACCGCUGAACCUUCCUUCGUGGUUUGGAAUUUGGGGACUGCAAUGAUUCCCAAUGAACCAGGAAUCCCUAGUAGGCGCGGGUCACUAGCCCGCGUCGAUUACGUCCCUGCCCUUUGUACACACCGCCCGUCGCUACUACCGAUUGAAUGAUUUAGUGAGGCCUUCGGACGGGCUUGUCGGGGUGCCGUCGCGUGGGGAGCAAUCUCUGCGCGCGCGGUGCCUACCAACGGCGAGACUGAAAGAUGGUCGAACUUGAUCCUUUAGAGGAAGUAAAAGUCGUAACAAGGUUUCCGUAGGUGAACCUGCGGAAG